UACGAGUGCCCCAAGCGUUACCCGGAAUUACUGGGCGUAAAGCGUGCGCAGGCGGUUGUGCAAGACAGAUGUGAAAUCCCCGGGCUUAACCUGGGAACUGCAUUUGUGACUGCACGGCUAGAGUGUGUCAGAGGGGGGUAGAAUUCCACGUGUAGCAGUGAAAUGCGUAGAUAUGUGGAGGAAUACCGAUGGCGAAGGCAGCCCCCUGGGAUAACACUGACGCUCAUGCACGAAAGCGUGGGGAGCAAACAGG
rnacentral:rRNA from 1 species